AUCCAUUUAGUUUAAAAGGUAAAACUUUGUUCUUUCAAAGCAAUGAUAUGAGUUCAAUUCUCAUAAUGGAUA
rnacentral:tRNA from 1 species